AUGGGUCUAGGCUAUGUGGAGGCAGGGUCAGAGAUGGAGAUGGUAGCCCAUCCAGCCACCAGCCCCUCUCUUCAGGGCCCUUUCCUGCUGUAUUUUGGGCAGGUGCGCACAUUGAGAGAGGAGAAGGAGCAUAGCAUGAGUUGGAAUCCAGAGGCCCUUACUGUCGCUUCCUUUCUUACCUGGGCCGUGCCCCUGGAACUCCAAGCAGGGCCCUCCAGGUUGGAGCAGCAGCUACAAGCAGAGGCUGGCCACCUGCAGAAGGAACUGGAGAGCCUGGCAGCUCCAAGCCCAGGAGCAAGACACUGAGGGCUUCAGUCACCCGAACCAGGAGUGGGAGGAGAGGCUGCUGGAGCUGCAGCAGGUGGCCAAGCUCUUGGGGGAGCAGGCAGAGUCGCACAGACAAAUCUUGGAGACCAUGCAGAAUGACUGCACCACCAUCAGCCGCGUGCUCACCCAGAACCACGAGCUCAAGGAGCAGCUGUCUGAGCUGCAGAAUGGAUUCAUAAAGCUGACUAACGAGAACAUGGAGAUCACCAGUGCAAUGCAGUUGGAAUAGCACGUAAAGAGGGAGCUGGGAAAGAAGCUGGGCAAGCUAAAGGAGACGGUAACACUGCCCCAUCCAAGAAGAGCUGGAAGGCGGGCACCAGCCUCUGGGGAGGGGAGGUGUGAGGCCAGAGGCAGCUCCAGCCUGGGGGACAGUGGUGGGCUCCUCCCAGGUCUGAACAUCAUCAUCCCGGCUAGAGUCAUGGAGCCCCCCAAACAUAGGGAAAGAGACGGUGGAGGGGCUGCACAACCAGUUACUGCUGUAGACCCAGUUCGUGGACCAGCUGCAGCAGCAGGAAGCUCAAAGCAAAGCAGUGGUCAAGAUGGCCUGCCAAGAGUUGCGGGAGACCCAGGAGAUGGACUGGACAGUGAGGAGGAGGUGGAGGUGCCUCAGCCCAUGCCGAGCAUCCUGGAGGACCUAGAGAGCCAGAAGGCCAUGGGGGCAUUUUUCAACUCAGCUGUAGCUAGUGCCCAGGAGGAGCAGGCACGGCUACGUGGGCAGCUGAAGGAGUGCACUGCCAGCGCAUGGUUCAUCUGCUGGCCUCGGCCCAGAAGGAACCUGAGGUGGCAGCCCCAGCCCCAGGAACUGGGGGCAAUUCCAUGUGUGGGGAGACCCACUGGGCCCUGCAGGCGGCCAUGGAGAGGCUGUAGAGCCGCUUUAUGGAGCUCAUGCAGGAGAAGGUGGACUUGAAGGAGAUGGUGGAGGAACUGGAACAUCGCUUCAUCUAGCUGUCUGGAGAGACAGACAUCAUCGGGGAGUGGGAAGCCAGGGCACAGCAAGGAGAGCUGCACAUCGGUCAGAGGGGCCCCAGCGUCUGAGCCCUGUCCUCCUGUAGGAGAGUACAUCGCAGUGUACCAGAGCCAGAGGGCAGUGCUGAAGGAGCAGCACCAGGAGAAGGAGUGCAUCAGCAGGCUGGCCCAGGACAAGGGAAGAGAUGAAGGUGAAGCUGCUGGAGCUUUUUGCGGCUUGUGAGCGACUGCAACGAGUAGCAUGGAAGAUCCCUGGCAGCUGCCCAGAACCCUGCUGAUGAGCCCACUCCAGAGGUCCCAGCCCCCCAGCAGCUUGGGGCUGCUGACAAGCAGGGUAGUGAGUAGAGCCCUCAGGCAGGGUGGGCACACAGGAGGGCUCGCACAGCGCCCUGCCUCCCUCUCUCCAAAGAUCUUUGCGAGGUGAGCCUUGCCAGCAGCGGGGAGCCUGUGCAAGGAGAGGCAGGGAAGGGUUCUCCCUGCGGUAACCCCACUGCGCAGCAGAUCAUACCGCUGCUUUAUGGAGAUGCAGAACCUCCAGGAGCACCCAAGCUUGGGCAGCAGCCCUUGCAUUCCUUUUUUGUACCAGACUGCCAAGAACGAUGAGGUGAAGAUCACCAUCAUCUAAAAGCCGGCCACUGUCAGCAAAAUCUGGAGAAGUGGGGCUGGAGGCUCUGCCUCUACUGUGUCCCUACCACCCCUUCCCAGUCAACCCUUUACCCUUACAGUAGCAAGCAUAAGACCCCUGUCUAAUGUGGAGAGACGGGUGGAGAUGAGGUGAAGAUCACCAUAAUCUAAAAGGCCACUAAAUAAAAUAAAUUUUAAAAAGGUA